rnacentral:rRNA from 1 species
UAGUCCACGCUGUAAACGAUCAUCACUCGCUGUUGGCGAUACACUGUCAGCGGCCAAGCGAAAGUAUUAAGUGAUGCACCUGGGGAGUACGGUCGCAAGAUUGAAACUCAAAGGAAUUGACGGGGCCCGCACAAGCGGUGGAGCAUGUGGUUUAAUUCGAUGAUACGCGAGGAACCUUACCAGGGCUUAAAUGCAGAACGACAGUUUGGGAAACCAGAUUUUCUUCGGACGUUUUGCAAGGUGCUGCAUGGUUGUCGUCAGCUCGUGCCGUGAGGUGUCAGGUUAAGUCCUAUAACGAGCGCAACCCCUAUCUUUAGUUGCCAGCGGUUCGGCCGGGGACUCUAAAGAAACUGCCAGCGCAAGCUGAGAGGAAGGGUGGGGAUGACGUCAAAUCAUCACGGCCCUUACGUCCUGGGGCUACACACGUGCUACAAUGGUAACGACAGAGGGCAGCCACUACGCGAGUAGGAGCGAAUCCUUAAAACGUU